GACGAACGCUGGCGGCGUGCUUAACACAUGCAAGUCGAACGGAAAGGCCUUUUCGGAGGUACUCGAGUGGCGCACGGGUGAGUAACACGUGGGUGAUCUGCCCUGCACUCUGGGAUAAGCCUGGGAAACUGGGUCUAAUACCGGAUAGGACCGCACUUUAGUGUGUGUGGUGGAAAGUUGUGUCGGUGUAGGAUGAGCCCGCGGCCUAUCAGCUUGUUGGUGGGGUAAUGGCCUACCAAGGCGGCGACGGGUAGCCGGACUGAGAGGUUGGUCGGCCACAUUGGGACUGAGAUACGGCCCAGACUCCUACGGGAGGCAGCAGUGGGGAAUAUUGCACAAUGGGCGCAAGCCUGAUGCAGCGACGCCGCGUGGGGGAUGACGGCCUUCGGGUUGUAAACUCCUUUCGCCAGGGACGAAGCGUUUUGUGACGGUACCUGGAGAAGAAGCACCGGCUAACUACGUG
rnacentral:rRNA from 1 species